AUCCCUUCUCUGGUGGAUCAACCCUGAGGGUUAUUGUGAGCAGAGUCAUGGUGACCUUCAGCCUGCUUCCUCCCAGCUUCCCCAAGGACACCUUGGUGCAGCCCAUGCAAGGACACAUGGGCUUUGGAGUCAGACAAUAGACAGAAGAGGAAAAGACAUCCAGACACAGAGGAGCAGGCCCUGUGAAGACAGAGACAGAUUGAGGUGAUGCAUCUGCAAGCCAGGGAGUGCCCAGGAUUCCUGAGAGCAACCAGAAGCUAGGGGAGAGAUUGAAGAUAAUGACUGCAGGAAAAGAUUAAAUAACUUUAUUUAUUAAGCUGUACUUCAUAUUUGCUAGAACUCUCUCAUCUGGGUAAGAAAAUGUCCAUGGAGAUAAGAACAGCCGUUACACAUCAGAAUGGCACUUGGAUUGAUAAACCAUCCCUUGCUGUUGCACUCUUCAAAUUAGCAAAUGAAAGAGCAUCU